UGGGUGGUUUAAAGAGUAGAGUAAAGAUGUUAAUUUUGUUUUAACUCAUUAGUACAGUGCCUGUUCUAAACCUGGUUCUCUCAGCUCGAGUUAAUGCUCCAGAGCUACUUCAGAAUGAUUCCUUCUCAUUAGCGACUCCUCCUUAGACACUUCUACAAUAUACUGUCACUUUUUUAUGGUUUGUGUGCUUGGCGUUGUGUGCAUAGCUUUUUUUAUAAACAUCCUGUCUUCAUCCUUCUUGGUUUAUCAGCAAUAGAUAUAUUAUUGUCAAUGUUUUUCAUCAAACAAAACUGAAUUGGCUUUAAUACUACGUGUGUAUGUGUCUAAAGCCGAGGAGGACUUAAAGUGAGGGUCUGUAUCGGCACUUAUAAAACUAGAGUGGGCUAACGUGCAGUGAGAGAUGACAAAGAGAACAGUUUUGCAGUCAUGACAACUGUUGAAAUCAUUAUUUUCUUGAAAAUGACAUUUUUUGGUAAAUUGUCUAUAAAUCAUAACAUGAAACAGUGUUUCUAUUUAAAUCAAGGUUUUUUCACAGUAGGCAUAUAUUAUGAUUGACAGGACUGUGAGUCACACUUAAGGAAACUUAAAAUAACCGCGUGACUGAUACGACUUAUGUUGCGGAAUAGAUAAUGUGUUGCUCCAGUCCACUUCUCUGUGACCUAAAAAAAGACAUGCAGUCAGACCGAGGCUUCUUUUUGAAUACGACAGUAAAAGUGUGUCAUUGUGGUGAUAUCUCCCCCCCCACUUUCCGUCUUCACACACAUGAUGUCAAAUCCUCUGUGUUGCUGUGGCAGAUGUACCUCAGGGGGAAGCUGCUGUUUGUGGGCUACUUGCACAGUGGUCGCAGCUGCUCAGUCGGGGACCUUCAGAAGCAGAUCUGCAGAAGCAGGGGAGACUACAGAUUAGGUCUGAGCCUCCCACCAGACUACAAGUUCAGUGAAGCAGUGAAUAACUCAGCCGCAGAUGCACACAACUCACAAGAUGCAGCGGUGACAGGAAGAGAUGACGUACCACUGCCUGCUUCAGUGGAAAAGAAAAAGGUCGAUGAGAGUUAAUCACAAGCUGCACAAACCAAGCAAGAGCAGCAGAGGAACCCAGCAGCCUGCAGGGGGCAGCCUCAGGACAUCACAUGGAAACAAGCAGCAGCAGACUGCUUGGAAAUUAAGCAGCAAAGAUCCAGGGAUUUGUUGUUGUUGUAGAUUCGUUAACCCUAACAUCAGAAGCUUAACCUAAACGAGGACAUCCAGAGGGGGACAGAGAGACAGCUCACCUUCAAAGUUAAAGUUCAGGAGAUCGGAGGUUUGAUUUGAUUAAUGAGUAAUAUUUGAACCUUACUCCUUAUGCUAGUUUAUGGGAACAAUAUGUCAUUUAUUUGAUCACCGAAUAUAAAUUAGAAGGUUUUGCAUGAAUUUUCAGAAUUAUAUUAAAUUAAAUGUGUCCCACACUGCGAUUCCUGUAAUGCGUCAGAACCUAAGGUUGGAAACUAUUGGGUUAUUCUCUAACAAUAGGUUUUUAAAGCAUGUUAAAUCAUCCAGUAUCUAAAAUCCCAAAAUAUAAGAGUAACUUUUAAGUAAGGCUGUCAAAUAUAUGUAGUAGAAAAUUCAAUGGUUUUCUCUGAAAUGUGAAUCAAAAAAAGCAUAGAAUGACACAGACACACAAAAUAACGUGUCCAUGUUUUUCCUCUGCUUAGUUCCUCAUGGGAAUGAGCAGGUGGUGUGGGCUAGGGGGUAGAGUGGACGUUCUCUGACAAGAAUAUUGGUGGUUCAAAUCCCACUCUUCCCCAUCUGCAUUCAGAAGUGUCCUUGGCAAGACACUGAACUCCUUAUAUUGGCAGGACUUCAACCACCGAUUAAUUGCAAAUUAUCUAACACUAUGUAAAUUUAAAAACAGAAAUAAAUAAAUAUAUAAUAACUAAAUUAAAUUAAAAAAUAAUUAAAUUAAACUAGAUUAAUUGAAUCCCCUUGAAAAUCCCUCCAGAAUAGGUUCAUUUUCACCAAUUUCUAUUUUUAUGCAAAUUUUGAUAAGAAUUGUAGCAUGUUAAAGCCCUCAAAAAUCCCAUUCAUUUGCCUGAAAAAUAAUAAUAAUAAUCCUUACAAUUUGAAUAGGUCUCACUGUCUGUCAGUGCCUGUCAGUGCUCGGGCCCUAAAUAUGAAUCCAGUGAAUAUAAAUGUGGUUUCUUAAGGGGAUUGCUGGCAGAGGUAUGCACUCUACUGAAUAAGAUUCUGUUUUUAUGACAUGUGGGUGAAUUACCUGCGUGAUGUCUUCUUCCCGAACAGAAAAACCACAGAAGUUUGUGAGGCCUCCCAGGAACGUCAGAGAAACUUUUGUAUCAAAUCAAAACAGACAUUUCCGCAUGUUCCUUUGACGACGCAUUGACCAGAUUACUUCUGUAUCUUCCUCCUAAAGUUAUCAAGUGCACUGUUGGUUCAAACUUAAGGUUUAUGUUGGCAAACACCUAAUAUACCUAGUAUACAAGUUUUCACCUACAUGGGACUGCAGAUACAACAUUUCUUUCCCUUCUGACAGUAAGGAUCAUCUGCUGUUAACUCUUGCAGCCAUCAGACGAUCCAAGAUGCUAAGAUGAGAUACAGAUGUUUCACCGUGCUCUGAAAAUCCUCAAUUUAUAUAAAUAUCCAUGGAAAAUACAUGUGUUACUUGGAUUUUUUAUCAUUGUAAUAAACGCUAAAUUUUCAUUCUUUUGUUAUAAUGUCUCUCCCACACACAUAUGUGGAAGUGUUCUCACAGCUUUGCCAGCUGCUGUUAUUCACUCCCCUUCCUUCUCUACAGCCAGUAAGAAGGUCAGAUUACAACAUGAGGAUUCUUUUUGAGUUUUACUUCCUCAACUAUAUAUCAGUUAUGGCUUACACAGUAUGAGCUCGCCUCUUAGUCAUAUACCAGUGUAAGCAAUUUAAGUAAUGAUGAUGUAUUUGGAAAUAAAUGUGUG